AUACGAAGGGUGCAAGCGUUGCUCGGAAUUACUGGGCGUAAAGCGUGCGUAGGUGGUUGUUUAAGUCUGUCGUGAAAGCCCUGGGCUCAACCUGGGAAUGGCGAUGGAAACUGGGCGACUAGAGUGUGGCAGAGGGUAGUGGAAUUCCUGGUGUAGCAGUGAAAUGCGUAGAGAUCAGGAGGAACAUCCGUGGCGAAGGCGACUGCCUGGGCCAACACUGACACUGAGGCACGAAAGCGUGGGGAGCAAACAGGAUUAGAUACCCUGGUAGUCCACGCCCUAAACGAUGCGAACUGGAUGUUGGGUGCAAUUUGGCACGCAGUAUCGAAGCUAACGCGUUAAGUUCGCCGCCUGGGGAGUACGGUCGCAAGACUGAAACUCAAAUGAAUUGGCGGGG
rnacentral:rRNA from 1 species